rnacentral:rRNA from 1 species
AUUGAACGCUGGCGGCAGGCUUAACACAUGCAAGUCGAACGAGUGGCGGACGGGUGAGUAAUGUCUGGGAAACUGCCCGAUGGAGGGGGAUAACUACUGGAAACGGUAGCUAAUACCGCAUACCAUACGAGGAGCCCAUAUGGGAUUAGCGAGUAGGUGGGGUAAUGGCUCACAUAGGCGACGAUCCCUAGCUGGUCUGAGAGGAUGACCAGCAACACGGGAACUAGGACCCGGCCCAGACUCCACCGGAGGGAAGCAGUGGGAAAUAUUGCACAUUGGGGGAAAGCCGGAUGCAGCCAUGCCGCGGGUGUGAGAAGGGCCUUCGGGUUGUAAAGUACUUUCAGCGGGGAGGCGUUACCCGCAGAAGAAGCACCGGCUAACUCCGUGCCAGCAGCCGCGGUAAUUC